rnacentral:rRNA from 1 species
ACGGAGGAUGCGAGCGUUAUCCGGAUUCAUUGGGUUUAAAGGGUGCGUAGGCGGUUUCUUAAGUCAGUGGUGAAAUCCUGCGGCUCAACCGUAGAACUGCCAUUGAUACUGAGAAACUUGAAUAUAGUUGAGGUAGGCGGAAUGAGUAGUGUAGCGGUGAAAUGCUUAGAUAUUACUCAGAACACCGAUUGCGAAGGCAGCUUGCUAAGCUAUAAUUGACGCUGAUGCACGAAAGCGUGGGGAUCAAACAGGAUUAGAUACCCUGGUAGUCCACGCCGUAAACGAUGUUCACUCGCUGUUUGCGAUAUACAGUAAGCGGCCAAGCGAAAGCAUUAAGUGAACCACCUGGGGAGUACGUCGGCAACGGUG